UCUGGUGUCAGCCGCCGCGGUAAAACCAGCACCUCGAGUGGUCAGGAGGUUUAUUGGGCCUAAAGCAUCCGUAGCCGGUUGUUUAAGUUUUCGGUUAAAUCUAUGCGCUUAACGUAUAGGCUGCCGAAAAUACUGGACAGCUAGGGAGUGGGAGGGGUACACGGUACUCAAUAGGAAGGGGUAAAAUCCUUUGAUCUGUUGAUGACCACCUGUGGCGAAGGCGGUGUACCAGAACACGUUCGACGGUGAGGGAUGAAAGCUGGGGGAGCAAACCGGAUUAGAUACCCGGGUAGUCCCAGCUGUAAACGAUGCAAACUCGGUGAUGCAUUGGCUUGUGGCCAAUGCAGUGCCGCAGGGAAGCCGUUAAGUUUGCCGCCUGGGAAGUACGUACGCAAGUAUGAAACUUAAAGGAAUUGGCGGGGGAGCACCACAAGGGGUGAAGCCUGCGGUUCAAUUGGAGUCAACGCCAGAAAUCUUACCCGGAGCGACAGCAGAAUGAAGGUCAAGCUGAAGACUUUACCAGACAAGCU
rnacentral:rRNA from 2 species